CACAGGGGCCUCACCUGGCUAUGAAGGAAGAGAACUUGGGGCUAUCUGAUUACAUGGGCCUGGCAUGGGGUAAGUGCUCAAUGAAGAAGAACGCUGGUCAGCAUCACCACUCCUCCCAGUCGCUUCUGACUAUAUCCUGCCUUUGAAUUGCACACCUUCGGCAACAAGGUCAGAAUUCAAGUUCCCACUUCUGCUGGGGUGCUUGGGAGGACCACUUCCCUUUGUCACGUCUCUCUCCAGACUCCAUAACUCACACCUCCAGGAGUAAGAUUGUCCCCAUGCAGCCUGGAGAACCUCCCCGGAGGCGAGGUGUUUCAGAAGCUGCUGGUCCCUCAUCAGCCUCUUCCAGCUGAUGCGCUCCAGAUACGGGGAGGGAGUGCAUACUUGGUGCUUGGAGUGGAGGAGUCAUUCCCCUCUGGUAUGGGCUGAAUCGUGUCCCCCUAAAAUAUAUGUUGAAGUCUUAACUCCUGAGGCCAGUACCUCAGGAUGUGACCUUAUUUGGAGAUAGGAUGCUUACAAGGGUUAUCAAAUUAAAAUGAGGUCAUGAGGAUGGGCCUCAAUACAGUAUGACUGGUGUCCUUAUAAAAAGGGGAAAUUCAGAGAAAGACACACUCAGGGAGAAGGCCAUGCAAAGAUGAUGACAAAGAUCGGGGUGAUGCCUCUACAAGCCAAGGGCUGCCAAAGAUUCCCAGCUAACCACUAGAAUCUAAGGGAGAGGCCUGGAACAGAUUCUCCCUCCAGCCGUCAGAAGGAACCAACUCUGCUGACACCUUGAUCUUGGACUUUGGAUCUUGGACUUCCAGCCUCCAGAACGAAUCACAAAUCACAGCCGGCAGGGGUUUCGGGGGGCCUGAGAGAUGGUCCUAGAUGGGAUACAGAAACUCAGAGCAGGCAAGUUACUUCCUCCAGGUCCAGCUAGGGAAUGGUGGAGAAGGGGCUCUGAACUGGGGUGCGGGGCUCGACAUCUGGCGCCACUUCUGCCCCCCCAUGUGACUGGGGAGUAGAGAGAGGAGGGCCAUGGGGGGACUGGCUGACCAAAUGGAGCCCGUGGAGGGAGAAUGAAUCUGCUAACUUGGUCUGGCCUCAGAGGACAAAGGACCUCCUUGUGUUUCUUAAGCCCUGGAAGACACAAGAGGGGGUCCCAGAGGUUGACCUCGUGUUUCUGAAGGUGCUUCCUUUCUCUUUUUCCUGGACUCUGGGCUGCAAGGAGACAAACACAGGGUAACUGCAAGUGCCACCUGUCCCACCUGCAUCUUUGUUUCGGCCCAGCGCCCACCUUGACUUAGGACUCAGCAUUCUUCAUGUAUCCCCGGGAGAAUCUUCUGGCUCCUGAAGCACUCGUGGGCCAUGCAGCUUGUAAUGAUGUAUUCGCGGGAAGGUGGAGGAGGAGGAUGCCAGGGGGGCAUCCUUUGCAUGGAAUACAGUGUGACUGGCGCCCCCUGGAGGUUCUGCUUUUCGGGGGAACUCAGACGAAGACAAUCUCAAGGUAUUCUCUCUCCCCAACAACUGCCAACAGCGCCUUCCUCUCUGCAGCCCCUUCCCAGCCCCCGUCUUCUUAGCUGCAGUUUCUUCUCUCCCGGAUCUCACCCCCAGCCAACAUCACCUCCAGAGAACAGCUGUGCCCCGCACAGAUGCUGUUUCCCUCUCCACCCCACUCACCCCGCCCCCCCCCGCCCCGCAAUGUCAGACAGAGUUUUUCCCAUAACUUAAGGAAAUGGGAAAGCCUCUCCCCGGAUAUGGACUUAACCCAGAGGAGGUAAAGCAGGAAUGAAAUGGCAGUACUCGUGUUGUUUGAUCUUUUACUUAACGGCAUCUCUCCCAAUUCCCAGCAGAUAGGAGAGGUGGCAGAUUAAAGAUGGCCACCAAUGCUUUCACACUCCUCCCAUCAAGAGGAGGGAGUCUAGAUGCCCCCUCCUUUAAAUCUGGGUGGGCUCUGUGAUGUCUUUGACCGAUAGAAUAUGGCAGAAGGGACGCUGUGCCAAUUUUGGUGCCCUGGCCUUAAGAGACGGGCAGCUUCCACGUCCUGCCUCUUGGAACACUCACUCCUGGAGCUGCCAUGUAAGAAGUCCCACUCACCCACUACAGACACCACAUGGAGAGGCCCUGAGUGGCAUGAAGAGGGAGAGCAGCCCAGUGAGCCAAGCCUUCUAGCCUUUUCUGCCGAGGCACCUGACAUGGUCCACCUUGACCCUGCAGACCAGCCAGGCUGCCAGUGACUACCACUGAGUGAUGGCAGCAGAUGCUGCAAUGAACAAAAGAAUCACCCAGCUGAGGCCCGCCCUCAUUCUGGUCCCCAAAGUUGUGAGAUAUAAUAAAAUGGUUUUCUUUGGAA